CAGGAAGACAAGGAGAGACAGAGGGCGAAGAAAUCAGGAGAUCUAGAUCCUGCUAUGGUCUCUAUAGAACAACUGAAAAAGAGCCAGUGCAUCAUGGGUGAGGGGAAUGGGCGUCUUACAGAGGUCACCUUAGAUAGGGUCGCUAUGGAGAUGACCCCCCCCCCCCCCCAUCACCAUACUACCAACCACAGAAGCCAGUGAGAGAGAUGAGGAGAUGGAGCACUCCAGUGAGUCUGACACUCUCAGAAGCCAUCAGCAGCAGUCCUGCUCAGCACACCAU